UACGUAGGGGGCUAGCGUUGUUCGGAAUCACUGGGCGUAAAGCGCACGCAGGCGGAUCGUUAAGUCAGGGGUGAAAUGCCGAGGCUCAACCUCGGAACUGCCUUUGAUACUGGCGAUCUUAGAGUCCGGGAGAGGUGAGUGGAACUCCGAGUGUAGAGGUGAAAUUCGUAGAUAUUCGGAAGAACACCAGUGGCGAAGGCGGCUCACUGGCCCGGUACUGACGCUCAGGUGCGAAAGCGUGGGGAGCAAACAGG
rnacentral:rRNA from 1 species